rnacentral:tRNA from 1 species
GUCGGGGUGGCGGAAUUGGCAGACGCGCACGUUUGAGGGGCGUGUGUCUUCGGACGUAGGGGUUCAAGUCCCCUUCUCGACACCA